AAACACUCCCCCCAUCCCCAUUUCCUCUGCUAGGGUUUAUGCUAGCCCAUCUUCGCCGCCGUUAUAGGUCCACCGUGGGCGGUGGUUAGGGUCGCGCGAACAAGGCUUUUUACCCCGAUUUUGAAGUGCUCGAAGGCCAUGUUCUUUUAACCCCAAAAGCAUGAGAGAAGGGACCUCCGUUUUCCUCUCUGGAAAUCGGUUCCAACGACGGAGCAAGGACUCCGACGUCGUGACUUCAAGGUUCAAGUGAGUCCUCUUUUCUCUUCCUCUUUAUUUUUUGUUUCAAAACCGAUUUAAAAAUAAAAAAAAAGAUAAAAAGGAAAAUAAAGAAACGGAAAUAAAAAGAUGAGAGAAUGAAAUUCAACCUUUUUUGUUUUUUUUAUUGCUUAAUCGUCUCUGUCUAAAAAAACAUUGUCUUGGUUUCGGGUUUUUAUAUCCGAAAAAUAAUACAUCUUAAUUUUUCAUUUUCUUUGCGUGUUCCUUCUGUUCUGUCUUCAUUUUCCUUUUGUUCUGCUGGCUUUCUUCUUUUUGUGUGUUUGCAGGUCUAUGGAGGAGGUCAAUGGGGCGGAGGCUUCCUUUUUGGUGCAAAGGACGGGCAGAGCCGUCCCUUGAGAGAUGUUUGCGCCGAGGACGCACGUGGCUGGCAGAAGGGAGGCGCGACGCUAGGGUUUCGGUUGGCUGAACUUGGUUUAGGCAUCGGGCCUAUCGGGCUUAGGUCUUUCUUUUAAUUUUGGGCCUAUUGGGUUGUAAUCUUGGCUGAGUUUAGUUAGGUUUGAUGUUUGGGUUGAUGUAAUGGGUUUGGAUUGGGCUUUUAAUGGGCUUAUUAUUUGGUUUAUUUAUGGCUUAGUGGGCUGGGCAAAAUUUGGGCUGUACACCACCCUUUCGAGUCACAUCCUUUUUCAUGAUGAGAUCAAAGGAUUAUCCUUUCGGAACAACCUUUACUGCAACAUAUGCAGGAUCUCAUAUACACGGUAAUCACCUGUCCAAUCGAAAAUCAAUAUUCAAACGGAUUCAUGAAUCGAAAAUCAAUAUUCAAA
rnacentral:lncRNA from 1 species